rnacentral:rRNA from 1 species
GACGAACCUGGCUAACGUUAUUCGGAAUUACUGGGCUUAAAGGGUGCGCAGGCGGCCGAGCAAGUCGAGUGUGAAAGCCCCGAGCUUAACUUGGAACUGCGCUCGAAACUACUUGGCUAGAGUGUGGCAGGAGGGAUGUGGAAUUCCAGGUGUAGCGGUGAAAUGCGUAGAUAUCUGGAGGAACACCGGUGGCGAAGGCGGCAUCCUGGACCGGUAUUGACGCUGAGGCGCGAAAGCUAAGGGGAGCAAACGGGGAUUAAGA